rnacentral:rRNA from 1 species
CCUACGGGAGGCAGCAGUAGGGAAUCUUCCACAAUGGGCGCAAGCCUGAUGGAGCAACGCCGCGUGGGUGAAGAAGGUCUUCGGAUCGUAAAACCCUGUUGUUAGAGAAGAAAGUGCGUGAGAGUAACUGUUCACGUUUCGACGGUAUCUAACCAGGAAGCCACGGCUAACUACGUGCCAGCAGCCGCGGUAAUACGUAGGUGGCAAGCGUUAUCCGGAUUUAUUGGGCGUAAAGGGAACGCAGGCGGUCUUUUAAGUCUGAUGUGAAAGCCUUCGGCUUAACCGGAGUAGUGCAUUGGAAACUGGGAGACUGGAGUGCAGAAGAGGAGAGUGGAACUCCAUGUGUAGCAGUGAAAUGCGUAGAUAUAUGGAAGAACACCAGUGGCGAAAGCGACUCUCUGGUCUGUAACUGACGCUGAGGUUCGAAAGCGUGGGUAGCAAACAGGAUUAGAUACCCUUGUAGUC